GUUCUCUUUGGAGGCUCAUAUGCUAAAAUUGGAAUGAUACCCCAAAGUUUAGCAUGGCCCCCGAGUGAGGGUUACAUGUGUAUUUAUGAAGCACUCCAUAUUAAA